GCUGAUUGAAGCAAAAAAAAAAAAAAAAAAAAAAAAAAAAAAAAAAAA
rnacentral:ribozyme from 1 species